UUUCAUUUCCACAGGUCAAUGAGUUCUCGAGAUAUCGUGCUGGCACUUAGUUUCAAGGGUUAACACCGAUUAAGGCAAUAAAGGGACAAGGUUUUGCUCUGAUUGUUGUAAUUUUAUGAAUAAAGAAAAUAAAGUUGAUCUGAAGAAAAACUUAAGAUAAAUUGAGGCAAAAGAUAUAUCGCAGAUUCAUUAACGUGUGUUAAAAAAUAUGUUUGCUAUAGGUCAAUUAAUAUAAGAGAAAUUGUCUUGUAAGGCUAUUGCAGUUUCAAAAACUAGGUAAGUAUGAGCAUAUAUAGUUUGACAUCGUAUACGCACGUUAUUGAGAUUUUCCUAGAGAUACACAUAAUAUAUCUAAUUAUUGAAGUUUUGAACUUAUUCAAUGAUUGAGCAAAAAUAAACAAAUUUUUAAUUUUAUUCAGUUCACUUUAAAUGGUUAUAAAUAAUAAUUUCCAAAACACGCAUAGGCGAUAACCAGAAUAUUAGAAGGACGACAGAAAUAGUUCCAAAUCAGCUCAUUUCAAUAAAGUUUGAAUUGGUUCAUGAAAUUGUAGCCACGUAAUAUCGAACCACAUUGCAUAAUGCGUCACGUGGUCAGGAUGCAAGAGCAUUACUAUUGGCAUAAAUAAUCGGGGAUCCACUAAAGGAGAUAAACCCGACUUUACCACCACUUACGCAAUACUAUUCAAUGUAUUGCGACUUGCACUGUUGCGUAUUGCUUCAUCAUUCACUGCCUUAUUAAUCACGUCACAGUAGUUGUGUUCCAUGGGCCUGUACAAGAUGAAAAUAUUAAAUGUGGUGAUUUUUUCACUGUUCCUCAUCUUCUUCUUCACCUUGGCUGCAGGCGUAUGUACGAACUGUUGAUGUGGCUUCAACUGGCCUUAUAUUUGAACACAUACGACUCAGACAUGUCUGCACCUCCAGAACUAAGCUAGAACAUGAGAAGAUUCCAAACUUCAAAUACCAGUAAACACUGAGAAUUUUUCGCAAAACGUCAUACCGCCACUAAUUGUUAACGGCUUACAAAUAAAAAUGACGAUGGUAAUAAAAGUUUCAAUCUACCCAAACUGAAAUCACCUAAUAAUAUGAGUUCGAAAUUG